UUCCGAGCGAGUAUGAUCCCAGCUCAGGAUGAACGCUAGCGGCGCGCUUAACACAUGCAAGUCGAGCGAGAAAGUCUGAACCCGCAAGGGGGAGGACGAGUACAGCGGCAAACGGGUGAGUAACACGUAACUGACCUGCCCCCGCGUCGGGCACAACCCCGGGAAACUGGGGCUAAUACCCGAUGGUCUCACCGGUCUACGGGCUGGCGAGUAAAGGCGCUUCGGCGUCGCGUGGGGAGGGGGUUGCGGCCUAUCAGCUAGUUGGUAGGGUAACGGCCUACCAAGGCGAUGACGGGUAGGGGGUCUGAGAGGAUGGCCCCCCACAUGGGGACUGAGACACGGCCCUGACUCCUACGGGAGGCAGCAGUGGGGAAUCUUCGUCAAUGGGCGCAAGCCUGAACGAGCGACGCCGCGUGGAGGAUGAAGCCCUUCGGGGUGUAAACUCCUUUUAGGGGGAAAGAAUAAGGGCCGGAGGUAAUGCCGGUCUGAUGACGGUACCCCCAGAAUAAGAGACGGCUAACUCUGUGCCAGCAGCCGCGGUAAGACAGAGGUCUCGAGCGUUAUCCGGAAUCAUUGGGCGUGAAGGGCGUAUAGGCGGCUUCGUAUGUCACCUGUGAAAGUCCUCGGCUUAACCGGGGGAAGUCGGGUGAAACUACGUCGCUAGAGCCUCGGAGGGGGAGGUGGAACUUCCAGAGUAGCGGUGAAAUGCGCAGAUACUGGAAGGUACCUCGAUAGCGAAGGCAACCUCCUGGCCGAGCGCUGACGCUGAAGCGCGAAAGCG
rfam:Candidatus Fraserbacteria bacterium RBG_16_55_9 RBG_16_scaffold_26938, whole genome shotgun sequence.